UUGCUUUGGCAGCACAUAUGCUAACAUUGGAAUGAUACAGAGAAGAUUAGCAUGGCCCCUGCACAAGGAUGACAUGCAAAUUCGUGAAGAGUUCCGUAGUUUA